ACCGGGAUUGCCCUAGUAACGGCGAGUGAAGCGGCAAGAGCUCAAAUUUGAAAGCUGGCCCCCUCGGGGUCCGCAUUGUAAUUUGUAGAGGAUGCUUCGGGAGCGGUCCCCAUCUAAGUGCCCUGGAACGGGCCGUCAUAGAGGGUGAGAAUCCCGUAUGGGAUGGGGUGCCCGCGCCCGUGUGAAGCUCCUUCGACGAGUCGAGUUGUUUGGGAAUGCAGCUCUAAUUGGGUGGUAAAUUUCAUCUAAAGCUAAAUAUUGGCCGGAGACCGAUAGCGCACAAGUAGAGUGAUCGAAAGAUGAAAAGCACUUUGAAAAGAGAGUUAAACAGCACGUGAAAUUGUUGAAAGGGAAGCGCUUGCGAUCAGACUCGCUCGCGGGGUUCAGCCGGCCUUCGGGCCGGUGUACUUCCCCGCGGGCGGGCCAGCGUCGGUUUGGGCGGCCGGUCAAAGGCCCCUGGAAUGUAACGCCUCUCGGGGCGUCUUAUAGCCAGGGGUGCCAUGCGGCCUGCCCGGACCGAGGAACGCGCUUCGGCUCGGACGCUGGCAUAAUGGUCGUAAGCGACCCGUCUUGAAACACGGACCAAGGAGUCUAACAUCUACGCGAGUGUUCGGGUGUCAAACCCGUGCGCGCAGUGAAAGCGAACGGAGGUGGGAACCCCUCGGGGUGCACCAUCGACCGAUCCUGAAGUCUUCGGAUGGAUUUGAGUAAGAGCGUAGCUGUUGGGACCCGAAAGAUGGUGAACUAUGCCUGAAUAGGGCGAAGCCAGAGGAAACUCUGGUGGAGGCUCGCAGCGGUUCUGACGUGCAAAUCGAUCGUCAAAUUUGGGUAUAGGGGCGAAAGACUAAUCGAACCAUC
rnacentral:rRNA from 1 species